UACGUAGGGGGCAAGCGUUGUCCGGAUUUAUUGGGCGUAAAGAGCGUGUAGGCGGCUUUACAGGUCCGUUGUGAAAACUCGAGGCUCAACCUCGAGACGCCGGUGGAAACCGUAAGGCUAGAGUCCGGAAGAGGAGAGUGGAAUUCCCGGUGUAGCGGUGAAAUGCGCAGAUAUCGGGAGGAACACCAAUGGCGAAGGCAGCUCGCUGGGACGUGACUGACGCUGAGACGCGAAAGCGUGGGGAGCAAACAGG
rnacentral:rRNA from 1 species